CACGUAGGCGGUCGUGUAAGUCGGAUGUGAAAUCCCAGGGCUUAACCCUGGAAGUGCAUCCGAUACUGCACGACUUGAGUCCCGGAGAGGGUGGUGGAAUUCCUGGUGUAGAGGUGAAAUUCGUAGAUAUCAGGAGGAACACCGGUGGCGAAGGCGACCACCUGGACGGAGACUGACGCUGAGGUGCGAAAGCGUGGGGAGCAAACA
rnacentral:rRNA from 1 species